UUUUGUUGUCCUUUGUAAUUAAUAUUUGUAGAUCUAGAUGUUUCUCCCAGCCACAGAUAACAAGAAGGUGGAAGGGGUGGGGAGAGAAUGUGUGCGUGUGUGUGUGCGUGAGUAUGUGUGAGAGAGAGGGGGAGAGAGAGGAAAAGGGAAGGACAGAGGCUUUGGUUAUGUGUUUCUGCGUGGGGAAUGGUGUGUUUGUGUAUUUGUCUGUAUGUGUAUUUGGGGCUUUGUAAACCUCUGGAGAUGUAAAGGCAAGAUAGAAAAUGAGAAGUAUGAUGAGCUGGAUCUCUCUUGUCUGUCGUUAUAUGUUUUCGGCAGCAGUGACCUUCAACCCUUUUGCUCUCUGUCGGCCACAACUUGAGUCCCCUUGCCCAACUGCUGUGCCAGUGUCAAAAUGUAGAGAAGGAGAAAGGGAUAGUAGAGGUAAGGAGACAGAGAGAGAUUGAGAUCAGAAGGGCUUUUUGCCCAGUCAAAUGGGCCUCCGGUGACAAAUCAAUCACGGCCUGUUCAAACCAAUGAUGCUGCCAGUCUCCAGUUUGCCAACCCCUCCACAGCCUCCCCCGGCUCUUCCUGCCUCUCUACAUGACACUCAGCUGAUGGCUGGGGCUCCAGUCAGAACAGGCUGCUUUUUACAGCAUUUAUGAAGCUUAACUUGGGACUCAACGUUUCUCAAGACCCUAAUUUAGAAUGAUUUAUACAGACUCUACUAACUCAGUGAAGAUAUGUGGCGAUUUCUGCAAUGGAAAGAAUCGAGAACAAUUUCAAAGCUACAAACUGAAGCACCACGUGAUCUCCCACAAAGCAGAAGUUCUUCAGAAAGCUCAGUGCUUCAUGGUUUCUGUAGUUCUUCAGUUGGGCUUCAGGUUGAAUUGUGUUUUUUUAAUCUAUAUUCUGUGCUCUCAAAGAAAUAUACUGGCCAGCUAGAUCAAUAAUUCUUUGACCUGAGCUUUAUCACUAGCUAUAGGUAUUGAGCGAUGUGAGAAGGAGCAUAGACUUUUUCAACACUCCAAAAUGAAAGCUAAAGAAAAGAACAAUUUUUAAUAAUCAUCCUCUGACAUCAGUUUGGAUGCUUGGAUUAGUUUCCUCUCAAAAAAAUUGAAAGAAAAAAAUAUAUAGGAAUUUUUGUUUCUUUAAAAAUAAUAACUAGUUUUAGUUAUUUUAACACCAUUUUUAUGGUGGCAAUCUUGUAAUUCUUUAAUUCCUUAGGUCAACAAGAUAAAUGUAUGCCUAAAGACCCAGAAACAGAAAAUAUGAUCAAUGUUGUAAGUGAUCCAAGCAAUGGAAAUAACAAACAGAAUAAAAUAGAUUUUCUGAACAGAUAGCUCUGGUAGACUUUUUGCUAGUUUGCUGGAGAACUAAUAAACUUUUUUUUUUUUUCUUUUAAAAUAUUUCUCAUAGGAGAUUCUUAUGGGGAAAAUGUAGUCCCUCAAGAGACGGUAGCACAAGGAAAUGUUUGCCAUAUUUAGAUCUCCUUUCACUAAAAAAUGAAGAGGUCAUUUCAGGUCAAUCAUCCUGGGUUCUUUUCUUUAAGGGAAUGAGUCUCCAGCAUGGCUCUUUAUAUUAAAGGACUUCAUGGGCCUGAGUUAUAGCUAUUGGUAUAAUCACAGGUUUCAGAAAUAAGAAUAGUUAUUUCGUGUUUCUUUGUGAAUGGAGAAGGAAAAGGUCAUUCAGUGGAUGGUACUUCAAACACUUAAAAGGAAAGGUAUUUUACUGCUUACUUAGCUUUUUAUGUACUAUAUAGAAAGUACGCAUAAUGUCACACUGCUAUGUAGACGCAGAAGGAAAGACCCUUUUUUACUUUAUGAGAAAACUUGAGAUACCUCUGCGUUUCUUAUUUUGACAAUGAAACCAUAAGGUCUAUGAAAUCAUGGAUGAUAUGAAGAAGAUAAACAGUCCUUCCCUGUUAUUUCUAAUGUAAGAUUUAGUGAAGAUCAAAGUAAAUAACUGUGACUGAUUCAAUGCAAACAAACGAAAAUGUUCUUUUCACCCGGCCUAUUAACCUAUGGAAACUCAAUGCCAGGAAAGGGAUUGGAUUUUGAACUAUAGAUUUAAAACCAACAAAUUCAUGGAAAUAUAAAACCCACCCAAAGGUAUUAUAUAAAAACAGUGCUGAGAAAAUAUUUGAAUUUAUU
ensembl:lncRNA